UAGGGAAUAUUGCACAAUGGGCGAAAGCCUGAUGCAGCAACGCCGCGUGCGCGAUGAAGGCCUUCGGGUUGUAAAGCGCUUUUCGGGGAGAUGAGGAAGGACAGUAUCCCCGGAAUAAGGCUCGGCUAACUACGUGCCAGCAGCCGCGGUAAAACGUAGGAGCCUAGCGUUAUCCGAAUUCACUGGGCGUAAAGCGCGUGCAGGCGGCUCGGCAAGUUGGAUGUGAAAUCUCCUGGCUCAACUGGGAGAGGACGUUCAAAACUGCAGGGCUAGAGGGCAGCAGAGGGAGGUGGAAUUCCCGGUGUAGUGGUGAAAUGCGUAGAUAUCGGGAGGAACACCAGAGGCGAAGGCGGCCUCCUGGGCUGCACCUGACGCUCAGACGCGAAAGCUAGGGGAGCAAACGGG
rnacentral:rRNA from 1 species